rnacentral:rRNA from 1 species
UACGUAGGGGGCAAGCGUUAUCCGGAUUUACUGGGCGUAAAGAGCGCGUAGGCGGUUCCGCAAGUUGGUUGUGAAAGUUCGAGGCUCAACCUCGAAACUGCGUCCAAAACUGCGGAGCUCGAGUGCAAGAGAGGCAAGUGGAAUUCCCGGUGUAGUAGUGAAAUGCGUAGAUAUCGGGAGGAACACCAGUGGCGAAGGCGGCUUGCUAGCUUGCAACUGACGCUGAGGCGCGAAAGCUAGGGGAGCGAACGGG